rnacentral:sRNA from 1 species
GGGAGCUCUAUGUUAUCUUGAAUCAAAAAAACGCAAACCUCAUUGAAGUAAAUGAAGAGGUCAAGAAACUUUGUGCAACGCAGUUCAACAACAUCUUCUUCUUGGAUUGACUGAUGAUGGCUCACCGAGAGCGUAUUUAAAAACACUCGGCAAACAUUUGGUCCUAUGCAAGUUAGUGGUCAUAUGACGGACUGCAUUCAGGACAAGGAUUACACCGGCCACCAGGUCCAUGACCCAGGCUGGAAUGCAAUGGCUCGCUGCAGCCUCAACCUCCUGAGCUCAAGCAGUCCUCCCACCUCAGCCUCCCAAGAAGCUAGAACCACAGGUACACACCACCACGGAAAUUAUAGCUUGUCCGGAAAGCACUUGGUCCUGAUGCAUUCUGGCAGCUACGGAAGACAGGAAGAA